rnacentral:lncRNA from 1 species
CCAAAUUGAGGUAGAGGUAUAAGUAUAACAAUAAUAUAAAGGGAGGCUUAUAUUAAAUCCCGUGCAAACAAGAGGGUAACAACACUAUAACUACACUAGGAACGUUACCCCUCCAUACCUCCCUCGGGGAGGCUUACCGGACACUUUCUCGAAACAACCUAGGGAGCUUUACAACCUCACGCUUGCAACCGUAGGCGGGAGAUAGAUAUAAGCCUAACUCAAUAUAAGGUUAGUUGCCCGUUUAGGGUUUAAGGUUACAUAUCAUUAUUAUAAAAAUAUACAUUAUAAUAACAUAGAUGUAUAUACUAUAUAGGGUUACACAUCAUUACUAAUCUACCUUAAUUAUAUAAUGUUAAUUGUAUAUACUACAAUCUAUAAUAAAGUUAAUUACAUAUAGGGGUGACAUCGAUUUG